rnacentral:rRNA from 1 species
GACAGAGGGUGCAAACGUUGUUCGGAAUUACUGGGCGUAAAGGGCUCGUAGGCGGCCAACUAAGUCAGACGUGAAAUCCCUCAGCUUAACUGGGGAACUGCGUCUGAUACUGGAUGGCUUGGAUUCGGGAGAGGAAUGCGGAAUUCCAGGUGUAGCGGUGAAAUGCGUAGAUAUCUGGAGGAACACCGGUGGCGAAGGCGGCAUUCUGGACCGACAUUGACGCUGAGGAGCGAAAGCCGGGGGAGCAA